UACGGAGGGUGCAAACGUUGCUCGGAAUCAUUGGGCGUAAAGCGCACGUAGGUGGUUUGUUAAGUCGGGUGUGAAAGCCCUGGGCUCAACCCAGGAAGUGCACUCGAAACUGGCAGACUUGAGUACUGAAGAGGGUCGCGGAAUUCCCGGUGUAGAGGUGAAAUUCGUAGAUAUCGGGAGGAACACCAGUGGCGAAGGCGGCGACCUGGGCAGAUACUGACACUGAGGUGCGAAAGCGUGGGGAGCAAACAGG
rnacentral:rRNA from 1 species